rnacentral:rRNA from 1 species
AACGAACGCUGGCGGCAGGCCUAACACAUGCAAGUCGAGCGGACCUUUCGGGGUCAGCGGCGGACGGGUGAGUAACGCGUGGGAAUAUGCCCUUCUCUACGGAAUAGUCCUGGGAAACUGGGGGUAAUACCGUAUACGCCCUUUGGGGGAAAGAUUUAUCGGGGAAGGAUUAGCCCGCGUUGGAUUAGGCAGUUGGUGGGGUAAUGGCCUACCAAGCCGACGAUCCAUAGCUGGUUUGAGAGGAUGAUCAGCCACACUGGGACUGAGACACGGCCCAGACUCCUACGGGAGGCAGCAGUGGGGAAUCUUAGACAAUGGGGGCAACCCUGAUCUAGCCAUGCCGCGUGAGUGAUGAAGGCCUUAGGGUUGUAAAGCUCUUUCAGCUGGGAAGAUAAUGACGGUACCAGCAGAAGAAGCCCCGGCUAACUCCGUG